AACUUUCAACAACGGAUCUCUUGGUUCUGGCAUCGAUUCAAGAACGCAACGGAAAUGCGAUAAGUAAUGUGAAUUGCAGAGUUCAGUGAAUCAUCGAAUCUUUGAACGCACAUUGCGCCCGCCAGUAUUCUGGCGGGCAUGCCUGUUCGAGCGUCAUUUCAACCAUCAAGCCCCGU
rnacentral:rRNA from 1 species